UAUGCGAUGGGGCAAGACACUGACUGAAAAUCUGAAUAUCAGGAUCAGAGAUGAGGACAUUUUUCAUCAGGAGUGUGUUACAGUAUACCCAAACAAGAUCAGAAAAUGAACAGUGGCUGGGCAUGAAAUCAUGAAAUAUAGCUUAAUUCAACAGAAGGAUACCUUACCAUUUUGGACUAUCAUUCUGAAGAUUAUCAAACUUCUGAAUCUGGGUGUCUAUUUUUAUCCAUCACCAGGGUCUGUUACCAUCGUUUUACUGCAGCUGUACAACUAGAUCCUGUUGUAACAAACCAAGAGGAGCUUCUAAUAAGAAAGAAUUAAUUUACUUUAAUUUCUAAGUUACAGAAAAAGGGAUCUGUACUGCAUAUGGGAUUUUUCUACAAUGAGCUAAAGAACAAUGACUCAAGUGACAA